rnacentral:rRNA from 1 species
GAUGAACGCUGGCGGCGUGCCUAAUACAUGCAAGUCGAGCGAACAGACGAGGAGCUUGCUCCUCCGACGUUAGCGGCGGACGGGUGAGUAACAUGUGGAUAACCUACCUAUAAGACUGGGAUAACUUCGGGAAUCCGGAGCUAAUACCGGAUAAUAUAUUGAACCGCAUGGUUCAAUAGUGAAAGACGGUUUUGCUGUCACUUAUAGAUGGAUCCGCGCCGCAUUAGCUAGUUGGUAAGGUAACGGCUUACCAAGGCAACGAUGCGUAGCCGACCUGAGAGGGGGAUCGGCGACACUGGAAGUGAGACACGGUCCAGCCUCAUACGGCGGGCAUCAGAAGGGAAGGUGCAGCAGUAAUCGAAAGAAUACGAGAGCAACGCCCAGUAAGUGAGGAAAGUCGUCGGAUCGUAAAACUCUGUUGUUAGGGGAGAACUUGUGUGUAAGACACUAUGCACGUCUUGACAGUACCUAGUCAGAAAGGCACGUCUAACUACGUG